CUCAGACAACACAUGAUCUCUACCUGCCACUUGCCUAAUUCUGUUGACAGAAACUGCUUUCAAUAUGACUGUUGAAAUUUAAAGUGUAAGCUGCUAUAUGAAGGGAUCCACAAGACGAAUAAUUAAGGGGGACCUCUGAUCAACAGCCAGCAAGGAACUGAAUCCCUCAGACCCACAACUCACAAGAAACUGAAGCUGAAGCAGAUUCUUCCUCAGUCAAGCUUCAGAAAGAAAUCAUGAGUGACCACUCAGCUCAAGGCUUCUCUGCUGAUGCCAUCCAGUGAGUUUCCUGGCAGCCAUCUUUUUAUGAAAGAAUAGAGGUCAGCCUGACUGCACUUCCAGAUGAUUAGAGGUGAA
rnacentral:lncRNA from 10 species